GCCUUGAUGUGGGGGAUAACUAUUGGAAACGAUAGCUAAUACCGCAUAAUGCCUUCGGGCCAAAGAGGGGGACCUUCGGGCCUCUCGCGUCAAGAUUAGCCCAGGUGGGAUUAGCUAGUUGGUGAGGUAAAGGCUCACCAAGGCGACGAUCCCUAGCUGGUCUGAGAGGAUGAUCAGCCACACUGGAACUGAGACACGGUCCAGACUCCUACGGGAGGCAGCAGUGGGGAAUAUUGCACAAUGGGCGCAAGCCUGAUGCAGCCAUGCCGCGUGUGUGAAGAAGGCCUUCGGGUUGUAAAGCACUUUCAGCAGUGAGGAAGGCGGGUACGUUAAUAGCGUSYUCGUUUGACGUUAGCUGCAGAAGAAGCACCGGCUAACUCCGUGCCAGCAGCCGCGGUAAUACGGAGGGUGCGAGCGUUAAUCGGAAUUACUGGGCGUAAAGCGCAUGCAGGUGGUUUGUUAAGUCAGAUGUGAAAGCCCGGGGCUCAACCUCGGAACAGCAUUUGAAACUGGCAGACUAGAGUACUGUAGAGGGGGGUAGAAUUUCAGGUGUAGCGGUGAAAUGCGUAGAGAUCUGAAGGAAUACCGGUGGCGAAGGCGGCCCCC
rnacentral:rRNA from 1 species